rnacentral:lncRNA from 1 species
AUGUUUCUCACGCAACUCGUGAUCUUCUUCUCCCAAAGGACGAAAGGCCGCUCGCAGUUCGGAGAACGCAAAGCUGAGCGAGACCUUCGACUGGAAUGCCAGCCCUUUGGAGGCCGUUGGCUGGUUGUCCUCAACAGGGCGAGACUUGGACGUGGACUGUCGCCCAACCGGAGGAAAGUUCUAAAUGGCACUUUGCGUGUGCAUGUGGUCAAGCUAUGGAGAGAGACGAAUGGCUUUCUGAGGCGAACCGAAGCCUUCGGAGUAACGAGGGGUGCUGAUGCUGUUCUCGGUUCCCCAGCACGACUCCGCUGUCCUCACCUUCGCUCCCACACCUGCCUGCCUCGGGUACUCAGGUUUCCUCCUCCGAAUCCCAGGUGGCCACAGCGAACACCAGCAAAGAAAGACGGGCGCUACAGGGCAGAGCGAGCGGCCCACCGGAACCCGGGCAAGGACUUGUCGGUGCCCGUUUCACCUCACAGAGUCUACCUGCAGAAUGUUUCCAAAACACAGAGGCCAGCUGAGCGGGGAGGAGAAAACGCUGUAAUCAAUCCAUCAGCAAGUCACUGAGUCAGCUUUCAUUUAUUAUACUGCAUUUCUUAUGGAAUUAAGCAGAUUUCAUUUCAAGGUUCAGUGGCAAAUUGGCAGAACGCCGCCCAGCCCUCCUCCCGAAGCAUCGGGAGCCAAGCGGGGCACCUCCGGCAACCUAAUAUUCUCAGGCGGAAAUGUCUUCGGACACCUCUCGCCGUAACGCCCCAUUUCGCUCGUUCUUUUUCGCGUCUCGGCGCUCGAGGUGCUCCGCGCGACUCGUCGUACGCUCACGUGCGCCGAGGGACACUGCGCCGUGCGUUGCGAGAGCGCAGAUGAGCGCCGUACGCCGCCGCACUGGGCUGCUCUGCUGGUGAACUUGAAAGCGAGCUGUGCCUGUGCGGAGGCCCGUCCCGAGACUUUAUUUAUACACGCUCUCGCACCGCAAGGGAGACGGGCCGCCAUCUGGUUCUCCUUGGCGCUGCGGUCGCCAUCCCAGAACGGGCCACAUCAAAGCAGCGUGGAGCUCGUCCAGAGGAGGGAGAGGAGGAGAGAUCUGGGAGACAUUCUCUCUGCCCCCCCCCCAACCCCCCGCUCCCUCGCACCGCCGCCUGACCUCACUUUUGGAAAAAUGGCAGCUGCGACCAUUUAUGAACACUGGGAAUGAGUCGGUCCCGGGCCCAGCCGCUGACUUGUGAAGGAAAGCUUUGAAAGUAAUCCCCUCUGCCCCCCCUCCGCCCACUCCCCUCCAAAUUAUCUGCGAAUAGUAACGAAGCAGACAUACUGUCAUGUUAACGAAACAUGUUUACGGCGACAAAGUGGAAAUUUGCUCACUUUGGAGAAAAGCGUCUGCUAAAUCACGAAUGCAGAAGUAUGUAAAAGUACAGUAAAUGCGCUGAGCUCAGUAAAUUCUGGGGGGUCAUUCUGGAAUCCCAACUUAUCGACGUUACCUAGAAAAGGUCACCUGCUCGGUUUUUGACAAUAAAAGUCAUAUGCUGCCAAUCA